CCGGGAGGCAGCAGUGGGGAAUAUUGGUCCCUGGGCUAAAGCCUGACCCAGCGACGCCGCGUGAGGGAAGAAGAUCUUCGGAUUGUAAACCUCUUUCAGCAGGGAAGAAGCAAGUGACGGUACCUGCAGAAGAAGCCACGGCUAACUACGUGCCAGCAGCGCGGUAAUACGUAGGCGGCGAGCGUUAUCCGGAAUUACUGGGUGUAAAGGGUGUGUAGGCGGGGAGGCAAGUCAGGCGUGAAAAUCAUGGGCUCAACCCAUGACUUGCGCUUGAAACUGUUUUUCUUGAGUGUGGGAGAGGUAAGUGGAAUUCCCAGUGUAGCGGUGAAAUGCGUAGAUAUUGGGAGGAACACCAGUGGCGAAGGCGGCUUACUGGACCACAACUGACGCUGAGACACGAAAGCGUGGGGAGCAAACAGGAUUAGAUACCCUGGUA
rnacentral:rRNA from 1 species